rnacentral:rRNA from 1 species
AACGAACGCUGGCGGCGUGGAUAAGACAUGCAAGUCGAACGAGGAACUCUUAGCUUGCUUUGGGUUCCUAGUGGCGGACGAGUGAGUAACACGUGAGCAACCUGCCCCAUAGUCUGGGAUAGCCCGAGGAAACUCGGAUUAAUACCGGAUGUGAUCGCAAGAUUAAAGGUGCCUUCGGGUGCCGCUAAGGGAUGGGCUCGCGGCCUAUCAGUUUGUUGGUGAGGUAACGGCUCACCAAGACGACGACGGGUAGCUGGUCUGAGAGGAUGACCAGUCACGCUGGAACUGAGACACGGUCCAGACACCUACGGGUGGCAGCAGUCGAGAAUCAUUCACAAUGGGCGAAAGCCUGAUGGUGCGACGCCGCGUGGAGGAUGAAGGCCCUAGGGUUGUAAACUCCUGUCAUCAAAGAGUAAAGCUCAGAUGUUAAUAGCAUCUUGAGCCUGAUAGUAUUUGAAGAGGAAGGGGCGGCUAACUCCG